rnacentral:rRNA from 1 species
GAUUUCUGGCUUGAAACAUUUUGCCGGCCACGGUUUCGUGUGUUAGUGCUUGAUGUUCUGGCCAUCCUUCCAAUUGCUAUUCACUUCUCUUCAUUGAUUGGUGAGUGGUAUUGGAUCUUUUACUUUGAAAAAAUUAGAGUGUUUCAAGCAGGCUUUAUGCUAUGAAUACAUUAGCAUGGAAUAAUAAUUUAGGACUUCGGUUCUAUUUUGUUGGUUCUCGGGACCGAAGUAAUGAUUGAUAGGGAUAGUUGGGGGUGCUAGUAUUCAGCGGCCAGAGGUGAAAUUCUCGGAUUCGCUGAAGACUAACUUAUGCGAAAGCAUU